CUUUAAGAAGAAAAGAAAGGAUAGUGGGGAGACAUCUGAGCAGAGGAAGAAAUGGGGUGAGCAGGACACCCACCCUCAGAGGAGGCCCUCACUGGAGGCGUCUGCACAGGAGAACACUUGCACUCAGCUUGCCCUGGGGCGUUAGAACUCAGAAUUCAGUUUCAAAGCUAAAGCACUGACAGGAGCAGUGACUGGGGACCCCAGGUUGAAUCCCCCCUUUAUCUAAAAUGAGUAAGAACAAAAAAACCAAAAGUGUUUGGGAUUUGGAAUCUGGACUAUUUGCAUCUACAUAAGAGGUCUUGGGAGGAAACCCAGUUCUAACCCUGAAAUUCAUCAGUUUCCUAUACUGCUGACUCCACAGGGGCUGAAGGUAAUCUCAAUGUUUUCAUAACUGGUGUGGUGCCACUUGCUCAUGAUCCCAACACUUGGAAGGGAACAAAGUUCGUGCACAUUGAACUGUCGACCGUGUAGUACAGGAUCCGCUCCAGGGAGCUAAAGAUUUUGAGAUGUUUCAUGUUGCAGCUACUCUGAUGAACAGUAUUGCUUUCCGGGCCAGAUACUGUAAGAGGAAGAGAAAACGCAGCCACAUCAAAAGAGUGUAAAUCAACGAGAAAACCAGAAACAACUCAAGAGAUGGCUGCAGGGGCCUGAAUUAUGUUCUCAGAACCUGCAUCAAGCCAAGAGAAUCAAAACUGUAACUCCAGCUCCCUGGGAUCCAGCACCCAUUUCUGGCCUCCAUCAGCAUCACUCACAGAAGCCACGUGAGCCUUCCACAGCCAAGCUCAGACCCAGCAUCUCCAAGUUCAAGGCUUCCGGGUGAAGGGGCAUUGCUGUACACAACAUGGGCUAACCUCCAAAAUGUGAGGCAAGACACCCGAUAAGAACAAGAGUCUGUAAACUGAGCUAGAACAUAGCUCAGUGGUACAAUGUUGGGUUUAAUCCCCAGAACUUCCAGGCUGGGGCAAGGCAUGGGGACAGAAAAAAGACUUUAUAAUUCAUUUUUGCAAAACAAAAAGCUGGGAGAAGGGGCCAGCAAGAUGGCUAAGCAGGUGAAGAAGCUUGCUGCCAAGGCCAAGGGCCUGAGUUUGAUCCCUGAAACCCACAUGGUAAAAUAAAAGAACUGACACUUGCGAGUUGUUCUCUCACCUCUA